AACGAACGCUGGCGGCAGGCUUAACACAUGCAAGUCGAACGCUCGUGGCGACACGGGAGUGGCGGACGGGUGAGUAACGCGUGGGAACGUGCCUCAAGGUACGGAAUAACUGCGGGAAACUGCAGCUAAUACCGUAUGUGCCCCUUACGGGGGAAAGAUUUAUCGCCUUGGGAGCGGCCCGCGUCGGAUUAGCUGGUUGGUGGGGUAACGGCCUACCAAGGCUUCGAUCCGUAGCUGGUCUGAGAGGACGAUCAGCCACACUGGGACUGAGACACGGCCCAGACUCCUACGGGAGGCAGCAGUGGGGAAUCUUGCGCAAUGGGGGCAACCCUGACGCAGCCAUGCCGCGUGAACGAUGAAGGCCUUAGGGUUGUAAAGUUCUUUUGCCCGUGACGAUGA
rnacentral:rRNA from 1 species